UCCCGAAUCGUAUAGUGGCUAGUACUCCGCCCUGUCAAGACUUUGCAUCUUCGACACGCUGUCCGGCGGCAACCCGGGUUCAAUUCCCGGUUCGGGAG